rnacentral:pre_miRNA from 1 species
GUGGUCAUUCACUCAGUCACAUGUCAUUAUAAUGUCACUGGGUAUAUGAUUACUG